UACGUAGGGUGCAAGCGUUAAUCGGAAUUACUGGGCGUAAAGCGUGCGCAGGCGGUUGUGUAAGACAGAUGUGAAAUCCCCGGGCUCAACCUGGGAACUGCAUUUGCGACUGCACGGCUCGAGUGCGGCAGAGGGGGAUGGAAUUCCGCGUGUAGCAGUGAAAUGCGUAGAUAUGCGGAGGAACACCGAUGGCGAAGGCAAUCCCCUGGGCCUGCACUGACGCUCAUGCACGAAAGCGUGGGGAGCAAACAGG
rnacentral:rRNA from 1 species